rnacentral:rRNA from 1 species
CAGUCGCCGCGGGAAUACGUAGGGUGCAAGCGUUAAUCGGAAUUACUGGGCGUAAAGCGUGCGCAGGCGGUCCGCUAAGACAGAUGUGAAAUCCCCGGGCUUAACCUGGGAACUGCAUUUGUGACUGGCGGGCUAGAGUAUGGCAGAGGGGGGUAGAAUUCCACGUGUAGCAGUGAAAUGCGUAGAGAUGUGAAGAACACCAGUGGCGAAGGCGGCUCACUGGCUCAUUCUAGACGCUGAGGUGCGAAAGCGUGGGGAGCAAACAGGAUUAGAUACCCCAGUAGUCCCUGUCUCUUAUACA